GUAGGUGGCAAGCGUUGUCCGGAAUUAUUGGGCGUAAAGCGCACGCAGGCGGUCCUUUAAGUCUGAUGUGAAAGCCCACGGCUCAACCGUGGAGGGUCAUUGGAAACUGGGGGACUUGAGUACAGAAGAGGAAAGCGGAAUUCCACGUGUAGCGGUGAAAUGCGUAGAGAUGUGGAGGAACACCAGUGGCGAAGGCGGCUUUCUGGUCUGUAACUGACGCUGAGGCGCGAAAGCGUGGGGAGCAAACAGGGAUUAGAUACCCUGGUAGUCCACGCCGUAAACGAUGAGUGCUAAGUGUUAGGGGGUUUCCCGCCCCUUAGUGCUGCAGCUAACGCAUUAAGCACUCCGCCUGGGGAGUACGGCCGCAAGGCUG
rnacentral:rRNA from 1 species